rnacentral:rRNA from 1 species
UCUCCGUUGGUGAACCAGCGGAGGGAUCAUUACCGAGUUAUCCAACUCCCAACCCCUGUGAAUUAUACCUUUAAUUGUUGCUUCGGCGGGACUUCGCGCCCGCCGGGGACCCAAACCUUCUGAAUUUUUUAAUAAGUAUCUUCUGAGUGGUUAAAAAAAUGAAUCAAAACUUUCAACAACGGAUCUCUUGGUUCUGGCAUCGAUGAAGAACGCAGCGAAAUGCGAUAAGUAAUGUGAAUUGCAGAAUUCAGUGAAUCAUCGAAUCUUUGAACGCACAUUGCGCCCGUCAGUAUUCUGGCGGGCAUGCCUGUUCGAGCGUCAUUACGCCCCUCAAGUCCCCUGUGGACUUGGUGUUGGGGAUCGGCGAGGCUGGUUUUCCAGCACAGCCGUCCCUUAAAUUAAUUGGCGGUCUCGCCGUGGCCCUCCUCUGCGCAGUAGUAAAACACUCGCAACAGGAGCCCGGCGCGGUCCACUGCCGUAAAACCCCCCAACUUUUUAUAGUUGACCUCGAAUCAGGUAGGACUACCCGCUGAACUUAA